GAUGAACGCUGGCGGCGUGCCUAACACAUGCAAGUCGAACGGACCUUAUUACGACAGAGACUUCGGUCGACGAAGUUUUAAGGUUAGUGGCGGACGGGUGAGUAACGCGUGGAGAACCUGCCCUGUACUGGGGGGUAACAGUGAGAAUUACUGCUAAUACCGCAUAAGCGCACGGGACCGCAUGGUCUUGUGUGAAAAACUCCGGUGGUACAGGAUGGCUCCGCGUUGGAUUAGCCAGUUGGCGGGGUAACGGCCCACCAAAGCGACGAUCCAUAGCCGGCCUGAGAGGGUGAACGGCCACAUUGGACUGAGACACGGCCCAG
rnacentral:rRNA from 1 species